rnacentral:rRNA from 1 species
GACGAACGCUGGCGGCGUGCUUAACACAUGCAAGUCGAACGGUAAGGCCCGGCUUUUGUGGGGUGCUCGAGUGGCGAACGGGGGAGUAUCACGUGAGUAACCUGCGCUUGACUUUGGGAGAACUUCAUGAAACUGGGGCGAAUACCGGAUAUGAGCUCCUGCUACAUGGUUUGUGAGGGAAAGAUUCGGCGGUUGGGCAUGGACUCGCGGCAUAUCAGCGUGUUGGUGGGGUGGUGGCUUACCAAGGCAUUGACGGGUAGACGGACUGAGAGGGUGACCGGACACAUUGGGACUGAGGUACGGCCCAGACUCAUACGGGAGGCAGCAGUGGGAAACAUAGCACAAUGGGCGGAAGCAUGAUGCAGCAACGCCGCGUGCGGGAUGACGGUCUUCGGGUUGUAAAGCGCUUUAGCCUGUGAAGCAGAGUGAGUGACGGUAAUGGCUAAAGAAGCACCGGCUAACUACGUG